rnacentral:tRNA from 1 species
GGAGUUGUGGCUUAGUGAUACAGCACUUGCCCAGCAUGCAUGAGGCACUGGGUUCAAUCCUCAGCACUACA